rnacentral:lncRNA from 1 species
AUAGAUUUUUCGGGAUCGGAAUGCGACAUAGCUAGGUUAUUAAUAGAUGCUUGUAAGGAUGAGGACAUAUCGGAAAGAAGAAGCUUAAUCUCAUCCAUAGAAGGUCCGGGAUUUUGCUCAAUAUCACCAGCAAGCAACAGCAAAAGCACACUCCAUGCAUCAUCAAGUAAAGAAAGGCACUGUUGAGGGCACGGCAGGAGGAUAAUACACCUAUCAUCACUACGAAAGCAACGACAGGAAUAAUAAGGACGAACCCGUACAAAGAACAUAAGGUGGUUCAUGGCUGCAUCUGCGAUGGUCUCGCCGUGCCCUCUGAAGGUGUGCUUGAGUUGCCCGGGUAUUUGUACUGUCAGUGGUGGCGCUGAAGGUCGGGGCUGAUGAGCAGAUUGCGUGACCAAGCCUCGGUUGAUAUCAGCAGCCACGUGGUCGACGAGAAUUCCGUCAUCAAGACUGCAAGAUGAGUUGACUGAUGGUGCGCACAGGAUUGAAGUGGUCAGCGUGACCUGUACAAAGAACAUAAGGC